rnacentral:rRNA from 1 species
UACGGAGGGUGCAAGCGUUGUCCGGAAUCAUUGGGCGUAAAGCGCACGUAGGCGGCUCUUUAAGUCUCUUGGUGAAAGGCUGGGGCUCAACCCCAUGCAUGCCGGGGAUACUGGGGAGCUGGAGACAGGUAGAGGCCAGCGGAAUUCCGGGUGUAGCGGUGGAAUGCGUAGAGAUCCGGAAGAACACCGGAGGCGAAGGCGGCUGGCUGGACCUGAUCUGACGCUGAGGUGCGAAGGCGUGGGGAGCGAACAGG